UGAUUUCUGAGAUAUUCGCUAAGCUCUUAUUUUGAACCUACAUUUAAGCUUCGGGAGUUCAACAUUUAGAUGAGGAUAUGUACUUUCUUGUGAGUCCUUUUAUGGCAUUGAAGGCGAUAGAUGCAUCUGUGAGAAUACCCACCUAUCGAGAGAUAGGUGUCAAAAUUAGAGUACCGAUAUUUUGGAUAUAAU
rnacentral:sRNA from 1 species